GGGAUGCGGAAAAACAGCAGAGUUUUGGACUGGGAAAACUGAAAUCGAGGCGGAAAAAGACCCACAUCAUGCGGCUGCUGUUCCCCUACGCUUUCUCUCCCUUUCCCGCUUUUCCAGCCAUGCCCGUCUGCCCGCCCGCACUUUUCUCAACCCAAAUGUACAUUCUUGUUGCGGCUUGACAAGUAAACAAGCGAAUCCAUCAAUCAACCGCACGUAGAAGGCACACAAAAGUGACAAUGUGGGUGGCCCCCGUUCCUUGGGGGUCCUCGAACAGGAUUCCGAUCCCAAAAAAAAAAAAGAAGGCGAAAAGAGGCGAAUUCGAUAUGCACGAGUCGUACGAAAUGAAUUUUCAGACAUCACAAAACGACCACUGCAAAGGAAAGAACUCGAAUCCUUUUGCCGCGAUGUACACACGCACACACUUUUGAGUGAAUAAAAACCAAAGGAAGUGUAUUGCAA
rnacentral:sRNA from 1 species